UAUGGACUCAGCAAUCUGUGUGUGUGUGUAUGGACUCAGCAAUCUGUGUGUGUGUGUAUGGACUCAGCAAUCUGUGUGUGUGUGUGUAUGGACUCAGCAGUCUAUCAAUAAUUAAAAUUCCAUUGCUUUGCCCAGGGGCCCUUAACUCUGUUAAAAUGGUACUGCUUGUGUGUGUCAGUGAGCUUCUAUUUAGUGAGCAUGUGUGUGUCAGUGAGCUUGUCUUUAGUGAGCUUGUGUGUGUGUCCCUGAACUUCUUUGUAGUGAGCCUUCUGUUUAUACAAGUGAGUGUCUGUAGUAAGCUUGUGUGUGAGUCAGAGAGUUUUGUCUGUCAGUAAGCCUAUUUGCGCAUGUCAGUGAGC